AGGUUAGUUAAAAGGCAGGUACGCUGAUGCCGUGUGUCGUCGGCAUGCCGAACAUGCGCAUGCACUGAUGUUGCGUGGCCGGCUUGAGCAGAUGUAGCUGUAACUGGACGAUGAAGACGUAGCUCGGCCGACUGGACGUGGCUGACGUUAGAAGCCCGGUGCAGGUUAUUGGCGACGUGGUUCGAUAGAAGCGACUCGCUAGAUGUGGCUGGGCGCGGUGUAGUAGCUCGACGGCCACACCUCUCUCUACGUUCAGAAGUAGCUGAAGAGGCCGCGCUGUGCCGUAGCUGUGUAGCAGCGGCACUCUCUGCGGAAGUUCGCUGUAGUAGAAGCUGUGCGACAACGUUGCGGUAUCGGCUGUGAAGUAGCGGUUCCAGAGGUAGUUGUACCAGAAGUGGUCGUAGUAGCAGUUGUGUGGCGGCGGCGGCGGAGCAGGUGUUCUACCUGUGGAUCACAGGAGACUGUCUGAAAAGACGUUCCGCGCUGGAGCU
rnacentral:rRNA from 1 species